rnacentral:misc_RNA from 1 species
GAUGAAGAACGUAGCGAAAUGCGAUAAGUAAUGUGAAUUGCAGAAUUCAGUGAAUCAUCGAAUCUUUGAACGCACCUUGCACCCUUUGGCAUUCCGAAGGGUAUGCUCGUUUGAGUGUCAUUGUACCCUCACACUUCUGAUCCUUUGGAUUGGGAGCGGUGGACUUGGGUGUUGCUGCUUUACUGUGGCUCACCUCAAAUGCAUUCGUGCAACUCUUGGUUGGACAUAGUACGGCGUGAUAAGUAUCUUCGCCGGCACCUCGCAAGAGGGUGGCUGAUCAGGAGCUCUGUGCUUUCCAACUGUCUUCAGACAACAACUGACAACUUGACCUCAAAUCGAGUAGGACCACCCGCUGAACUUAAGCAUAUCAAUAAGCGGAGGA